CAAUAUGAAACCCUCCAAAAAGACAGAUCUAGAUCAAACCCAUUUACACAUGUUCACCCCUAAUCCUCCUCACAAGCUGGAUAUCCUUAGGCAUAAUAGCAACCCUCUUGGCAUGAAUAGCAUAAAGAUUUGUAUCCUAAAAAAGCCCAACUAGGUAAGCCUCUGCAGCCUUCUGUAGCGCCACCACAGUAGAGCGCUGGAAUCAAAAAUUAGUUUUAAAGUCCUGGGCGAUUUCAUGGACCAGCCUCUGGAAGGGGGACUUGCGGAUCAAGAGUGAAAAACUUCUUGUACUUCUAGAUCUCAUAGAGAGCCAAUAUACCAGGCAGAAGCGAUGGGGCUUUUUAACACCACCAAUCGUCGAGACAGAUUUCCUGGCGGCCUUGGUACUGAGAUACUUACAAAGAGCCUUGCCUCCUAUUGAUUUGCUAGUUAUCUACUUUGUACGAGGCAUUCGAAGAUGGAAGUGAAGGUAUAUAUAUACAAAAAGAGUAUUUAUUGAUUAAUCUUUGGGUGAACAUUGAAUUUUGAGGAUAAUAGGAGGGAUGAAGGGUUUAUCUUAGGGAAUGGAGGGACAAAAGGUAGAAAUUUUGGCGUGCUUUAAAUUUGGGAAUUCGAAGGAUUAGUGAGAGACUUUGAUUUAAAGAGUAUUUGACGACAGAGAUUGGAAUAAGGAGGAGUGACUUGGAUUGCUAUCCGAGUGAAGGUUUUUGGAAACAUUUUAUAAACGUUACGAAAGAGAAUUUUUGACAUUAUUUUAUAAACGUUAUGAAAGAGAAAGAUUUUUGCAAUGCUCUGUAAACGUUGCGAAAGAAAAAACCUUUUGCAAUGCUUUGUAUAAGGCUGGAUAAAUCUCACGAACUAAACCGACUGAACCGAAUUGAACCUAAUCCGACGAUUCUUGUCAAAUUAAAUACCCGAACGGGUAUUUGAAUUUAGAACCGACGGAUACGGUUCUAUUCUCGAUUCUAUACCAAAAAUCGAAAACUCGAAUCUUUCUAAUUUUUUUUUAUAUUGAGUAAAUCAAAUUAUUUUAAUUUUUUCUAAACAAAUUAACAAAUUAAUAAUUUUUAAAUCCAAAUUUUUGGCCAAAUUACCCAUUUUAUUGUUUCAUUUCUUAGCCCAACAAGAUUCAAUCCACUAAAUAACCCUAAACGCUUACACUAAAGUGCAUAACGUUGUAUUGACUCUCGCACUCACUCUUGCAGCCUCAUUAACAUUCCAAAACCUAUACAAUCGUCGGCCGACGCCGUGACCUCCGAUCGAAGCUGCGACCUCCGCCGACUGAAACUUU
rnacentral:lncRNA from 1 species